UGAAAAUAUGGCAAUGUCUGUUUUUGGAUGUUUCACUUUCACACUUUCCUUGAAACAUCAACAAACCUGUGGACAAAAGACAACGGUCUUCAGAGGCUUGAUGUUCGGAAAGACGUUGGCUGGCUGUCAGAGGACAGACAACAAGUGGACUGAGGACACUACACAGACAGCAUCCA